UACGUAGGGUGCGAGCGUUAAUCGGGAUUACUGGGCGUAAAGCGUGCGCAGGCGGACUCGUAAGACAGGCGUGAAAUCCCCGGGCUCAACCUGGGAACUGCGCUUGUGACUGCGAGGCUAGAGUGUGUCAGAGGGAGGUGGAAUUCCACGUGUAGCAGUGAAAUGCGUAGAGAUGUGGAGGAACACCGAUGGCGAAGGCAGCCUCCUGGGAUAACACUGACGCUCAUGCACGAAAGCGUGGGGAGCAAACCGG
rnacentral:rRNA from 1 species